rnacentral:misc_RNA from 1 species
GAUGAAGAACGUAGCGAAAUGCGAUAAGUAAUGUGAAUUGCAGAAUUCAGUGAAUCAUCGAAUCUUUGAACGCACAUUGUGCCCUCUGGUAUUCCGGGGGGCAUGCCUGUUCGAGCGUCAUUAUAACCACUCAAGCUCUCGCUUGGUAUUGGGGUUCGCGGUUUCGCGGCCCCUAAAAUCAGUGGCGGUGCCUGUCGGCUCUACGCGUAGUAAUACUUCUCGCGAUUGAGUUCGAUAGGUCUACUUGCCAGUAACCCCCAAUUUUUACAGGUUGACCUCGGAUCAGGUAGGGAUACCCGCUGAACUUAAGCAUAUCAAUAAGCGGAGGA